GAGAGUUCAGUGAACUCCCGGUGCAAGAUGGUAUCUUAGAGAAGGUGCUGUGUCUCUUAAAGGGUCCACGACUCCUCUUUUGACCAUGCCGCCACCGCCGCCCGCAGUACCGGUGUCUGCUGCUGGGAGUGCCUCGGGGAACCCGGAGAGCCCCUCUUCCUGGUUACUUCCGCUGGUUUUUUUCCUGGAAACUCGCUCCGAUGUCCCGAAAUGACUCAGCUGUAGUAAAUCUGCAACACAACGUGCGGAGGAAUUUUCAUCAGCAAACAUCAUUUAAAAGGAAAUUAAUGGCGAAAAUGGGGCAUUGGGAAACCAUGGGGGAGGGGGGAGACUGAGAGAAUGAGAAUGAAUAAUGGCAAAAUAAAUAAAUAAAUAAAUAAAUAAAAAUUUAAAAACCCUGGAAUAUGCCAAAAAUA
rnacentral:lncRNA from 1 species